rnacentral:lncRNA from 1 species
AAAAUAAAGAAACCCUAAGUGGAGGAACAGAGGAGCAAGAAAAGAAACGACGAGGAGGAAGAAGAAGAAGAAGAGGAAAGAGAAAAAGGCACAACAAGAAGCCGAUCCGCGCAAUGCAGAGAAGCGGUAGCUAAAGGAGGAGACUCGCGCGCAAUUGUCGUACAACGACUGAAAAGAAGGAAUCGUGCUGCAAGGGCAUAGGGAGAUCUACUCUUGGUGUGUGGUGCGACAACGGGAAGACAUACCUGCACCUAGGAACAUGAAUUCACUAUUGGCACGCAAUGUGAUGACGGAGAAGAAAACCAGAAGGUGGUGCAUGGGAUGGGGCAUGGGAUUCCGACAUCUUUUCAAAUCAAAUUUUAGGUAAUAGUCGAGUUAGUUUUCAUUUGGGAAUCUUAUAAUUUUUUCUAAAAUAGUUUGUUGAAUUAAAAUAAUUGUUGAAAUCUAAAAAAAAAAUUAAUUUUCAAGUGUUAUUUUAAUAAAUAAUUUCAUAAACCAAUAUAUGCAUGUAGAAUAGAAUGUAUGUG